CCAUAUCAAUAAGCGGAGGAAAAGAAACUAACAAGGAUUCCCCUAGUAGCGGCGAGCGAAGCGGGAAGAGCUCAAAUUUAUAAUCUGGCACCUUCGGUGUCCGAGUUGUAAUCUCUAGAAAUGUUUUCCGCGUUGGACCGCACACAAGUCUGUUGGAAUACAGCGGCAUAGUGGUGAGACCCCCCGUAUAUGGUGCGGACGCCCAGCGCUUUGUGAUACAUUUUCGAAGAGUCGAGUUGUUUGGGAAUGCAGCUCAAAUUGGGUGGUAAAUUCCAUCUAAAGCUAAAUAUUGGCGAGAGACCGAUAGCGAACAAGUACCGUGAGGGAAAGAUGAAAAGCACUUUGGAAAGAGAGUUAACAGUACGUGAAAUUGUUGGAAGGGAAACGCUUGAAGUCAGACUUGCUUGCCGAGCAAUCGGUUUGCAGGCCAGCAUCAGUUUUCCGGGAUGGAUAAUGGUAGAGAGAAGGUAGCAGUUUCGGCUGUGUUAUAGCUCUCUGCUGGAUACAUCUUGGGGGACUGAGGAACGCAGUGUGCCUUUGGCGGGGGUUUCGACCUCUUCACACUUAGGAUGCUGGUGGAAUGGCUUUAAACGACCCGUCUUGAAACACGGACCAAGGAGUCUAACAUGCUUGCGAGUAUUUGGGUGUCAAACCCGGAUGCGUAAUGAAAGUGAAUGGAGGUGGGAACCGCAAGGUGCACCAUCGACCGAUCUGGAUUUUUAAUGAUGGAUUUGAGUAAGAGCACGUAUGUUGGGACCCGAAAGAUGGUGAACUAUGCCUGAAUAGGGCGAAGCCAGAGGAAACUCUGGUGGAGGCUCGUAGCGGUUCUGACGUGCAAAUCGAUCGUCAA
rnacentral:rRNA from 1 species